CACGGGAACGCGUCGCACCCCCGCCCCCUGCUUACCUGUGGCUGCCGCCUUGCCGCUGUCCGGGGCGGGAACUUCCACUCCCCCCUCCCAGGUGGAUCCGAAAUUCUCUACCCACUUCUCCACGCCCUCACGCGGCGGGCCAUAAUCUCAAGUGCAACGGCUGAGUGGAAAGUGAGCAUCCUCAUCACAAUUUUGCCUUUCAUAGUAGUGCUUCUGAAGUGCCAUCGUGUGACUUUGCCUCUCAAGACGUAGAGUCCUCUCCCUUGAAUCUGGGCUGGGCAGUGGAAUGCAGCCAAAGUGGUGUAUGACCUCCAAGAGUGGAUGAGAAGUUUACAGCCUAACCUGCUCUUGCCCCUGAUGUCUCCUUUGAGAAUCCAGCUGCUCGCUCCGAGAAUCCCAAGCUAGGAGGAGAGGCUACACUGAAGCGUAAACACCCAGACAGAAUGUGUUCCAGAGUUUUGGCUAGGCUGUUUCUAUCAAUAAUGGCCUUUUGGGUCUGUCCUAAGACCUUCUACCCCAAAGGUUCUACUUGACGUGGAAAGAGCACAAGCAUUGCGUCUUCAAGAGGGAGUUUUCUUAUUCAAGUCUGUAACAGACCAGGCAUUAAAUCUGCAGAUGACCCCACAAACACCUCUAGGCUAAUGACUGGACUCUCUUCCCCUUCCAGAGGACACUUCACCACAGUUACUAAUGAAGUUCCCAAAGACACAGCUCAGCUUUCUUUCUUCCACUAGCAUAUUCUGGCUUUGAGGGAUAGGCAAAAGAUCAAUAAAGCAGCCACGAGGCAGAGAGCAAAAACUAGAGAUAAAGCAGAGGUCUGAGGAACUACAAAUCCAGAUAAUCAGAUCCUAAGUAACUGGGAGUUGACCAUACUCUGAGAGGAAUGGAGUAUCUUAUUUGAAAGAAUGAGUACAGAGCACUUCUGUCCAAUAUCGUAGCCACUGGCCGCAUGUGGCUACCGAAAACUGGAAGUAUGGGUAGUCCGAAUUGAAAUGUGCUUAAUACACACUGGAUUUCAAAGACUUAAUAGGAAACAAAGAAAAUAAAAUAUCUCACUUUUCAUCCUGA